UACGUAGGUGGCAAGCGUUAUCCGGAAUUAUUGGGCGUAAAGAGCUCGUAGGCGGUUUGUUGCGUCGGCUGUGAAAUCCCGAGGCUCAACCUCGGGUCUGCAGUCGAUACGAGCAAACUAGAGUGUUGCAGGGGAGACUGGAAUUCCUGGUGUAGCGGUGAAAUGCGCAGAUAUCAGGAGGAACACCGGUGGCGAAGGCGGGUCUCUGGGCAACAACUGACGCUGGAGGAGCGAAAGCCGUGGGGAGCGAACAGG
rnacentral:rRNA from 1 species